AUUUGGUGGAUUUAUGGUGGGUCCUUCCCUGUGGGCCCCUCAUACUAUACCCAUGCCAGAGUAAAUUGCAAACUCUAACCUUUGCCCAGCCUCCUUAUCUGUGGGCUAUGAGCACUGAAGGGGGUUGAACUGUG